CGGUUGAUCCUGCCAGAGGCCGCUGCUAUCCGGCUGGGACUAAGCCAUGCUAGUCUAGGGGCUUGUACUCCUUCGGGGGUGCAAGCACCGGCGGACGGCUCAGUAACACGUGGACAACCUGCCCUCGGGUGGGGGAUAACCCCGGGAAACUGGGGCUAAUCCCCCAUAGGUGAUGGGUGCUGGAAUGCCCCAUCUCCGAAAGCGCUUAGCGCCCGAGGAUGGGUCUGCGGCGGAUUAGGUAGUUGGUGGGGUAACGGCCCCCCAAGCCUAAGAUCCGUACGGGCUGUGGGAGCAGGAGCCCGGAGAUGGACCCUGAGACAAGGGUCCAGGCCCUACGGGGCGCAGCAGGCGCGAAACCUCCGCAAUGCGGGAAACCGCGACGGGGUUAGCCGGAGUGCCCGUGCAUUGCACGGGCUGUCGGGGUGCCUAAACAGCACCCCAUAGCAAGGGCCGGGCAAGGCCGGUGGCAGCCGCCGCGGUAAGACCGGCGGCCCGAGUGGCGGCCACUCUUAUUGGGCCUAAAGCGUCCGUAGCCGGCCCAGUAAGUCCCCCGGGAAAUCUGGUCGCUUAACGAUCAGACUUCCGGGGGAUACUGCUGGGCUAGGGACCG
rnacentral:rRNA from 1 species